UCAGGUAGGAACCCGCA
rnacentral:rRNA from 1 species